rnacentral:rRNA from 2 species
UACGUAGGGGGCAAGCGUUGUCCGGAAUUAUUGGGCGUAAAGGGCACGCAGGCGGUUGUCUAAGUCUGAUGUGAAAUCUUGCAGCUUAACUGCAAGCGGCCAUUGGAAACUGGAUAACUUGAGUGCAGAAGAGGAGAGUGGAAUUCCACGUGUAGCGGUGAAAUGCGUAGAGAUGUGGAGGAACACCAGUGGCGAAGGCGGCUCUCUGGUCUGUAACUGACGCUGAGGUGCGAAAGCGUGGGUAGCGAACAGG